AAAACCAAAAGCCACCCUCCCAUUUGGAAGACGGAGCGAAACCCAAACCCCCAAACUCCUCCUUUCCGCCCGAUUCCAACCCCAAUCCAGCGGUCCAGCCGCCGCCCCCGCCGCCGGCCUCCUCUCCCCCACCCUCACCCCCACCGGCGACCUCCCUCCUCCGCUCUCCCUCAGUUCCAACCACGGAUGGGGAUGGGGAUGGGGAUGGGGCGACAGAGCCCGAAACCCUAGCCCCUCUCUUCCCCAAUUCCACCCACGACCCACCCAUGGAUGGGGAUGGGCCGGACCUGUUCCGGCGACGACGGCGCCGGAUCCGCACCCAACUACGGCGCCGGAUCCGCACCAGCAAGGCAGCAACGCGAGCGAGCCGGCAGCAUCGUCCACCCCUUCUCCCAGCGCACGGGGGGAAGACGACGGCGAGGUGGGCCGGAGACAUCUGCAGCAUCUCCGACCUCCCUGCCGGCCGACGGCCAAGGACCAUCCCAAGAUCACUCAUGCCCAGAGAGUGUGACCGACCGAUCUGUGAUUUAGUUGAUUGCAAGCAGCAGGCAGGUGCCCUCCAUGGACGGGAUGAAGAGGACCUGGACGUGGGGGACCCCACCCAUGAGCUCGACCAUAAAGACAUGGCCGAGUCUAACCCUGAGCUCGACGACGCUGGACAAGGCAGGGACACAACCGCUAGCACCUUGGAUGCCUACGAGGAGCUGCUUCGUUGAGGGACCGCACUGUCCUCUUCCUCCCAGAUCGAGCAGGUCCCAGAUCCGCGACGACCACAACGGUGCUCCUGGACGGGAGAGGAGGGCGACCAUGCUUCGACCCGACACCAUGGAAGCCCCUGGAGCGCGUCAAGGUCCUUCUUCUCCUCCCACAAAUGGUCAACUUGGUGCUGCUCCCUCUGCAGUGUAGGAGAACAAUACCCAUGGAGAUUCAUGGAGUAGGCUAUGUCAUCCUCUAACCACCAUGAUUGGCUGCUACCGGCGAGGCAAGAUUGUAUGGUCGAGAAGGUCGGUGUUGACAACAGCGCUGAAGCUAUGCGUCCUCCCCUACAAGCAGUAUGGAUCCGCCAUGGCUGGACUAAGUGUAUGAUUCAAGGAUCUCCAUUGGAAAGAAUGUGCCAAGCAAGUAGCACAUCAAGGAACCAUCUGACCCAUCCUAGCUAGGUGGCUUUGAUAGGUCCAGGAUACACGCAGGUCGUCGGAGAAGAAUCUUUAGCAAGAAAGCAAGUCCAAGACACACGCAGCACUAGGAUCUUGGGUUGUUGGAGAAGAGUCUGCAGCAAAAAAGCAACGAGAGACAAGAUGGGAGAUCAGGGGGGUACCUGCCUGCAAUCCAAGGAGCAAAUCGAGGCCACCCCUGUGACCAAGCAAGAUGCUACAGUUAGAAGAGAACGGGCGCUCGCCUACGGAUUCUCCCAUUAGGAUUCAAGCAUCUCAAUUGAAAGGACUACGCAAAGCAAACGACACGACAAGGAAUCAUCAGACUCAUCCUAGGUGGCUUUGAUAGGUCCAGGACACGCGGGGCAUCUGAGAAGAAUAUGUAACAAGAAAACAAGUCCAAGACACAAAAGAUCUUGGGUCGUGGGAGAAGAGUCGGCAGCAAAAAGUCAACAAUAGACAAAGGGACAGUUUCUAUGAGAUGCAACCAUGGAUAUCACCUUGAUUCUGCUUGACGCCCAGGACCAGGACACUGAUGUAUGAUCAUGUUACUUUUGUGGUUACAUGGACUGCUAGGGCUACCUGCAUCUGCUCGUCCACUGCUCUGACGCCAUGGUGAGACGUAGAUCUUCCCCUGUUCCCACCCUAGCGCAGGCUGCUGCUCGUCAAGGUGCAUGCCUGCCUGACGAAACCAACAUCGAUCACAAGUGGCCAACCCUAGCUACUGGCGCACACCAGGGUUGUUUGUUGCUGGCCGUACCCGACAUGCACAAGUUUGUCUCUCCCUAGCUGCUCCAGCCCUCACUCCGCCGCUUGCUUUCGGCAUAGGCAGUUUGCUGUCUUCUGGUUGCGCGAAGGAGGCCAUGGAGAAGUUGCCGCCGACCUAUGGUGUGCACCAGAAGGUGAACUCAAGGAGAGUUUGAUCUUCUCAGCGCCCUGGUGGUUGUGAUUAUCUAUCUGGGUUCGCCAGGAAAAUCACGAUAUUUUUGGGCACCCCGUGAUUGAAGAGUGGAUCCUGUUUGCUGCAAUCUUUAAUGGAAAACAGAAGUAGUAUGGUGUAAUGUGUUUCCCCAUGGUGAUAGGGUUUUUUGUUUUGGUCGUUUCUGGGAUGAUGCAUAUGUGGAUAAAUCUGAACGACAUCCAAUGACUGUAUGAAUAAGGCCGAUCAAAAUUAUUGUCUGCCAUUGAAAUUAAGAUGCAAUCAAGCCAAUGAUUUUUUCUGGUUGAUGAUCUGAA